CGGCUGUAGCUACAUUCACUUGGAAGUUUUACUGGCCGGUUGUCGUUUUUCAGUCGAUAAAUCUGCUUACCGAACUUCAUACAUAU